rnacentral:misc_RNA from 1 species
GUAUAUUUUCUUAUUCCAUCCUUUGCUUCAUGUCAUCUUUUCCAAAGACAUCUUGUUGUGUAUCUUGUCAUUUACUACUUUUGGCACUAUGUACGUAAACCAUGCAGAGAGAAGUUGGUGUAUGAGUUAAAACUGUCAUCCAUGUCAUUCAUCAAGAAAUAAAUGCAAUUCUCUGUGCAUCAUUUUGGUGUGAUAAAAAUUUAACAUUCUUCAGUUGUGCUUGAGUUGCCAUUGAAUUUCUUGGAUCCUAAUCCUAUUUUUCAUGUUUGAUUUUGGAGAAAUGCAUCUGAAUUUAUUGGUUUUUGCUAUAUAGAUGUUCCAUGAUUAAUUUAUUGGGAUUUUAAAUUGAAUGUGUAGAUGCCAUGCCACAAUGUUUCCAUGGUUUUCAAAAUAAUCUUUUUCUUACUGUUGAUUGUCCUUGGAUUUUUGUAGUGUUGAUCAAAUAAUGAUUUUUUUUUUUU